rnacentral:rRNA from 1 species
CUAGAGGGAACAGUUGGAACGACUGCUAAACCCGGAUGAGCCGAAAGGUAAAAGAUUUAUCGCCUAGAGAGGGGCUUGCGUCUGAUUAGCUAGUUGGUAAGGUAAAGGCUUACCAAGGCGACGAUCAGUAGCUGGUCUGAGAGGAUGAUCAGCCACACUGGGACUGAGACACGGCCCAGACUCCUACGGGAGGCAGCAGUGGGGAAUUUUCCGCAAUGGGCGAAAGCCUGACGGAGCAAGACCGCGUGGGGGAGGAAGGUUCUUGGAUUGUCAACCCCUUUUCUCAGGGAAGAACGCAAUGACGGUACCUGAGGAAAAAGCAUCGGCUAACUCCGUGCCAGCAGCCGCGGUAAUACGGGGGAUGCAAGCGUUAUCCGGAAUGAUUGGGCGUAAAGAGUCCGUAGGUAGUCAAUCAAGUCUGCUGUUAAAGAGCGAGGCUUAACUUCGUAAAGGCAGUGGAAACUGGAAGACUAGAGUGUAGUAGGGGCAGAGGGAAUUCCUGGUGUAGCGGUGAAAUGCGUAGAGAUCAGGAAGAACACCGGUGGCGAAGGCGCUCUGCUGGGCUAUAACUGACACUGAGGGACGAAAGCUAGGGGAGCGAAUGGGAUUAGAUACCCCGGUAGUGNCGCGA